AAGUCGUAACAAGGUUUCCGUAGGUGAACCUGCGGAAGGAUCAUUAACGAAUUACAAUGCUGAGGUUGUAGCUGGCCUUUCAAUCGAGAGAGGUAUGUGCACGCCUUGGUUAUUCCAAUUCUUACACCUCUGUGCACUUUACAUAGAAAGAUUUAUUAUUAGUUGGGUUGAAAGGUUACAACUAUACUUGUAGAGUUUGAACCAAGUAGUUCCCAACUUUCAAUAGUCUUCUGUGGUUCAUACAUUUAUACCAGUCAGUUUAGAAUGUAACACCGCGUUUAACGCAAACUAUAUACAACUUUCAGCAACGGAUCUCUUGGCUCUC
rnacentral:misc_RNA from 1 species